rnacentral:rRNA from 1 species
CUCAGAUUAGCCAUGCAUGUCUAAGUACAUGCCGUAUUAAGGCGAAACCGCGAAUGGCUCAUUAAAUCAGUUAUGGUUCCUUGGAUCGUACCUUACUACUUGGAUAACUGUGGCAAUUCUAGAGCUAAUACAUGCAGCAGAGCUCCGACCUUCGGGGACGAGCGCUUUUAUUAGACCAAAACCAAUCGGACCUCGUGUCCGUACGAUGUGGUGACUCUGUAUAACUUUGGGCUGAUCGCACGGGCCUGUCCCGGCGACGUAUCUUUCAAGUGUCUGCCUUAUCAACUGUCGAUGGUAGGUUACUCGCCUACCAUGGUCGUAACGGGUGACGGGGAAUCAGGGUUCGAUUCCGGAGAGGGAGCCUGAGAAACGGCUACCACAUCCAAGGAAGGCAGCAGGCGCGCAAAUUACCCACUCCCGGAACGGGGAGGUAGUGACGAAAAAUAACAAUACGGGACUCUUUUGAGACCCCGUAAUUGGAAUGAGUACACUCUAAAUCCUUUAACGAGGAUCCAUUGGAGGGCAAGUCUGGUGCCAGCAGCUGCGGUAAUUCCAGCUCCAAUAGCGUAUAUUAAAGUUGUUGCGGUUAAAAAGCUCGUAGUUGGAUCUCAGUUCCAGACGGGUGGUCCGCCUACCGGUGGUCACUGCCUGUUCUGAACAGCCAGCCGGUUUCUCUUGAUGAUCUUCACCGGUUGUCUUGGGUGACCGGCAAGUUUACUUUGAAAAAAUUAGAGUGCUCAAAGCAGGCGUGACGCCUGAAUAAUGGUGCAUGGAAUAAUGGAAUAGGACCUCGGUUCUAUUUUGUUGGUUUUCGGAACACGAGGUAAUGAUUAAGAGGGACAGACGGGGGCAUUCGUAUUGCGACGCUAGAGGUGAAAUUCUUGGACCGUCGCAAGACGAACUACUGCGAAAGCAUUUGCCAAGAAUGUUUCCAUUAAUCAAGAACGAAAGUUAGAGGUUCGAAGGCGAUCAGAUACCGCCCUAGUUCUAACCAUAAACGAUGCCAGCCAGCGAUCCGGCUGUGUUCCUCAAAUGACC